AUACGGAGGGUGCAAGCGUUACUCGGAAUUACUGGGCGUAAAGGACGCGUAGGCGGUUUAGAAAGUCAGAUGUGAAAGCCUAUGGCUUAACCAUAGAACUGCAUCUGAAACUCCUAGACUAGAGUGAGGGAGAGGUCAGUGGAAUUAGUGGUGUAGGGGUAAAAUCCGUAGAGAUCACUAGGAAUACUCAUAGCGAAGGCGACUGCCUGGAACUUUACUGACGCUGAGGCGUGAAAGCGUGGGGAGCAAACAGGAUUAGAAACCCCAGUAGUCC
rnacentral:rRNA from 1 species